UGUAUUGCAUAGUUUUAUCCAUUGCAUUUCACUCCAACCUCACAAAAUGACUCAUCCCACCAUAUUGUGAUGUUGACCAAGUUUUGGGCUCAAUCAGAUAUUGAUUGAACCAUAAAAUUGGACAAUUCAAGUUCAUACGAAGUUCGUUCUGUAAAUGGAGUGGUUGGUGUAUUGCAUAGUUUUAACCAUUGGAUUUCACUCAAAAC
rnacentral:lncRNA from 1 species